ACUCCUACGGGAGGCAGCAGUGGGGAAUAUUGCACAAUGGGGGAAACCCUGAUGCAGCCAUGCCGCGUGUGUGAAGAAGGCCUUCGGUUGUAAAGCACUUUCAGUAGGGAGGAAGGUAGUGUAGUUAACACCUGCAUUAUUUGACGUUACCUACAGAAGAAGCACCGGCUAACUCCGUGCCAGCAGCCGCGGUAAUACGGAGGGUGCGAGCGUUAAUCGGAAUUACUGGGCGUAAAGCGCAUGCAGGCGGCCUGUUAAGUCAGAUGUGGAAGCCCGGGGCUUAACCUCGGAAUUGCAUUUGAAACUGGCAGGCUAGAGUCUUGUAGAGGGGGGUAGAAUUUCAGGUGUAGCGGUGAAAUGCGUAGAGAUCUGAAGGAUACCAGUGGCGAAGGCGGCCCCCUGGACAAGACUGACGCUCAGAUGCGAAAGCUGGGGAGCAAACAGGAUUAGAUACCCUGGUAGGAUAGCG
rnacentral:rRNA from 1 species